UAGCUCACCUGGCCCGAAGGGCCAAGUGAGCUUUUCUCAUCACUUGGCGUCCGUCGUCGUCCGUCGUCGGCGUUAACUUUUUACAUUUUGAACUUCUUCUAGAGAACCACUGAAUGGAAUGAAACCAAACAUGGCAUGAAUGUUCCUUAUGAGGUGCUGACCAAGUGUUGUUACUUUGUAGCCGAUCCAUCAUCCAAGAUGGCCGCCAGCGGGGGACUUAGUUUAACAUAGGACCCUAUGGGAAAUGCAUACAAAUGACUUCUUUUAGAGAACCACUGAAUGGAAUGAAACCAAACAUGGCAUGAAUGUUCCUUAUGAGGUGCUGACCAAGUGUUGUUACUUUGUAGCCGAUCCAUCAUCCAAGAUGGCCGCCAGCGUGGGACUUAGUUUAACAUAGGACCCUAUGGGAAAUGCAUACAAAUGACUUCUUUUAGAGAACCACUGAAUGGAAUGAAACCAAACAUGGCAUGAAUGUUCCUUAUGAGGUGCUGACCAAGUGUUGCUACUUUGUAGCCGAUCCAUCAUCCAAGAUGGCCGCCAGCGGGGGACUUAGUUUAACAUAGGACCCUAUGGGAAAUGCAUACAAAUGACUUCUUUUAGAGAACCACUGAAUGGAAUGAAACCAAACAUGGCAUGAAUGUUCCUUAUGAGGUGCUGACCAAGUGUUGUUACUUUGUACCCGAUCCAUCAUCCAAGAUGGCCGCCAGCGGGGGACUUAGUUUAACAUAGGACCCUAUGGGAAAUGCAUACAAAUGACUUCUUUUAGAGAACCACUGAAUGGAAUGAAACCAAACAUGGCAUGAAUGUUCCUUAUGAGGUGCUGACCAAGUGUUGUUACUUUGUAGCCGAUCCAUCAUCCAAGAUGGCCGCCAGCGGGGGACUUAGUUUAACAUAGGACCCUAUGGGAAAUGCAUACAAAUGACUUCUUUUAGAGAACCACUGAAUGGAAUAAAACCAAACAUGGCAUAAAUGUUCCUUAUGAGGUGCUGACCAUGUGUUGUUACUUUGUAGCCUAUCCAUCAUCCAAGAUGGCCACCAUCGGGGAACUUAGUUUAACAUAGGACCCUAUGGGAAAUACAUACAAAUGUCUUCUUUUAGAGAACCACUGAAUGGAAUGAAACCAAACAUGGCAUGAAUGUUCCUUAUGAGGUGCUGACCAAGUGUUGUUACUUUGCAGUCGGUCCAUCAUCCAAGAUGGCCGACAGCAGGGGACUUAGUUUAACAAAGGACCUAUGGGAAAUACAUACAAAUGUCUUCUUUUAGCGAACCACUGAAUGGAAUGAAACCAAACAUGGCAUGAAUGUUCCUUAUGAGGUGCUGACCAAGUGUUGUUACUUUGUAGCCGAUCCAUCAUCCAAGAUGGCCGCCAGCGUGGGACUUAGUUUAACAUAGGACCCUAUGGGAAAUGCAUACAAAUGACUUCUUUUAGAGAACCACUGAAUGGAAUGAAACCAAACAUGGCAUGAAUGUUCCUUAUGAGGUGCUGACCAAGUGUUGCUAUUUUGUAGCCGAUCCAUCAUCCAAGAUGGCCGCCAGCGGGGGACUUAGUUUAACAUAGGACCCUAUGGGAAAUGCAUACAAAUGACUUCUUUUAGAGAACCACUGAAUGGAAUGAAACCAAACAUGGCAUGAAUGUUCCUUAUGAGGUGCUGACCAAGUGUUGUUACUUUGCAGUCGGUCCAUCAUCCAAGAUGGCCGACAGCAGGGGACUUAGUUUAACAAAGGACCUAUGGGAAAUACAUACAAAUGUCUUCUUUUAGCGAACCACUGAAUGGAAUGAAACCAAACAUGGC